rnacentral:rRNA from 1 species
CGGACAGAUGGGAGCUUGCUCCCUGAUGUUAGCGGCGGACGGGUGAGUAACACGUGGGUAACCUGCCUGUAAGACUGGGAUAACUCCGGGAAACCGGGGCUAAUACCGGAUGGUUGUUUGAACCGCAUGGUUCAAACAUAAAAGGUGGCUUCGGCUACCACUUACAGAUGGACCCGCGGCGCAUUAGCUAGUUGGUGAGGUAACGGCUCACCAAGGCAACGAUGCGUAGCCGACCUGAGAGGGUGAUCGGCCACACUGGGACUGAGACACGGCCCAGACUCCUACGGGAGGCAGCAGUAGGGAAUCUUCCGCAAUGGACGAAAGUCUGACGGAGCAACGCCGCGUGAGUGAUGAAGGUUUUCGGAUCGUAAAGCUCUGUUGUUAGGGAAGAACAAGUACCGUUCGAAUAGGGCGGUACCUUGACGGUACCUAACCAGAAAGCCACGGCUAACUACGUGCCAGCAGCCGCGGUAAUACGUAGGUGGCAAGCGUUGUCCGGAAUUAUUGCGCGUAAAGGGCUCGCAGGCGGUUUCUUAAGUCUGAUGUGAAAGCCCCCGGCUCAACCGGGGAGGGUCAUUGGAAACUGGGGAACUUGAGUGCAGAAGAGGAGAGUGGAAUUCCACGUGUAGCGGUGAAAUGCGUAGAGAUGUGGAGGAACACCAGUGGCGAAGCGACUCUCUGGUCUGUAACUGACGCUGAGGAGCGAAAGCGUGGGGAGCGAACAGGAUUAGAUACCCUGGUAGUCCACGCCGUAACGAUGAGUGCUAGUGUUAGGGGGUUUCCGCCCCUUAGUGCUGCAGCUACGCAUAGCACUCGCUGGGGAGUACGGUCGCAGACUGAACUCAAGGAUGACGGGGCCGCACAGCGUGAGCAUGUGUUUAUCGAGCACGCGAGACUAACAGUCUGACAUCUCUGACAUCCUAGAGAUAGACGUCCAUCGGGGCAGAUGAAGUGGUGCAUGGUUGUCGUCAGCUCUGUCUGGAAUGUAGCUAAGUCCGCACGAGGCACUGACUAGUGCAGCAUCAUGACCUUAGGA